rnacentral:rRNA from 1 species
CCCUUAGAUGUUCUGGGCCGCACGCGCGCUACACUGAUGCAUUCAACGAGUUUUUCCUGGUCCGAGAGGAAUGGGUAACCUUUUGAAAGUGCAUCGUGCUAGGGAUAGACUAUUGCAAUUAUUGGUCUUCAACGAGGAAUUCCUAGUAGACGUAGUUCAUCAGACUGCAUCGAUUACGUCCCUGCCCUUUGUACACACCGCCCGUCGCUCCUACCGAUUGAAUGGUCCGGUGAAAUCUUCGGAUUGCUGGAUAGGACUUCAUUGACCUAUCUGCGAGAAGUUGCUUGAACCUUAUCAUUUAGAGGAAGGAGAAGUCGUANCA